GAUGAACGCUGGCGGCGUGCCUAAUACAUGCAAGUCGAGCGAACAGACGAGGAGCUUGCUCCUCUGACGUUAGCGGCGGACGGGUGAGUAACACGUGGAUAACCUACCUAUAAGACUGGGAUAACUUCGGGAAACCGGAGCUAAUACCGGAUAAUAUAUUGAACCGCAUGGCUCAAUAGUGAAAGACGGUUUUGCUGUCACUUAUAGAUGGAUCCGCGCCGCAUUAGCUAGUUGGUAAGGUAACGGCUUACCAAGGCAACGAUGCGUAGCCGACCUGAGAGGGUGAUCGGCCACACUGGAACUGAGACACGGUCCAGACUCCUACGGGAGGCAGCAGUAGGGAAUCUUCUGCAAUGGGCGAAAGCCUGACGGAGCAACGCCGCGUGAGUGAUGAAGGUCUUCGGAUCGUAAAACUCUGUUAUUAGGGAAGAACAAAUGUGUAAGUAACUAUGCACGUCUUGACGGUACCUAAUCAGAAAGCCACGGCUAACUACGUG
rnacentral:rRNA from 1 species